UACGAAGGGGGCUAGCGUUGCUCGGAAUCACUGGGCGUAAAGCGCACGUAGGCGGAUUGCUAAGUCAGGGGUGAAAUCCUGGAGCUCAACUCCAGAACUGCCUUUGAUACUGGCGAUCUUGAGUCCGGGAGAGGUGAGUGGAACUGCGAGUGUAGAGGUGAAAUGCGCAGAUAUCAGGAGGAACACCAAUGGCGAAGGCAGCUCGCUGGGACGGUACUGACGCUGAGGCGCGAAAGCGUGGGGAGCGAACAGG
rnacentral:rRNA from 1 species